rnacentral:misc_RNA from 1 species
GAUGAAGAACGUAGCGAAAUGCGAUAAGUAGUGUGAAUUGCAGAAUUCAGUGAAUCAUCGAAUCUUUGAACGCACAUUGCGCCCCUUGGUAUCCCGAGGGGCUUGCCUGUUCGAGCGUCAUUUCACCACUCAAGCCUGGCUUGGUGUUGGGCGACGUCCCCUUUGGGGACGCGCCUCGAAACGCUCGGCGGCGUGGCACCGGCUUUAAGCGUAGCAGAAUCUUUCGCUUUGGAAGUCGGGGCCCCGUCUGCCGGAAGACCUACUCGCAAGGUUGACCUCGGAUCAGGCAGGGAUACCCGCUGAACUUAAGCAUAUCAAUAAGCGGAGGA